AACAAACGCUGGCGGCGUGCCUAAUACAUGCAAGUCGAACGGGGAAAGCUUUCGGGUGAGUACUAGUGGCGCACGGGUGAGGAACGCGUGGAUAAUCUGCCUUAGAGUGGGGGAUAACUAGUCGAAAGAUUAGCUAAUACCGCAUAAGACCACGAGAGCUGCGGCUUUUGAGGUCAAAGGUUUUUCGCUCUAAGAUGAGUCCGCGUAAGAUUAGCUAGUUGGUGAGGUAACGGCUCACCAAGGCGACGAUCUUUAACUGGUCUGAGAGGAUGAUCAGUCACACUGGAACUGAGACACGGUCCAGACUCCUACGGGAGGCAGCAGGAGGGAAUAUUGCACAAUGGAGGAAACUCUGAUGCAGCGACGCCGCGUGAGUGAUGAAGGCCUUCGGGUCGUAAAGCUCUGUCGCAGGGGAAUAACACAAUGAAGGUACCCUGUAAGAAAGGAUCGGCUAACUUCGUG
rnacentral:rRNA from 1 species